rnacentral:rRNA from 1 species
CGACUUGGUCUCACGAGCAAGCUUAAGCCGGUAGGCGAAGGCGCAGCGAAAGCGAGUCUGAACAGGGCGCUGAGUUGCCGGCAGAAGACCCGAAACCGAGUGAUCUAGCCAUGGCCAGGCUGAAGGUGGGGUAACACCCACUGGAGGGCCGAACCCACGCCUGUUGAAAAAGUCGGGGAUGAGCUGUGGCUAGGGGUGAAAGGCUAAUCAAACUCGGUGAUAGCUGGUUCUCCCCGAAAUGCAUUUA